CCCAGAACCUUUCUGCAGCGGCACUGCUUUCCAGCCGUGGCUUCCCUAUCUGCUUACAGUAAAGCCUGUUUUGUUUGCUUAGGGAAGCUCAACUAGUUUCUCUUGCUCGCAAGCAGAGUUAAUAGAAAAACUAGAAUCAGAGUAAGAUGCUGUAUUAGUACUCUUUUGCUGCUGUAACAACUUUCCACAAACUCAGCGCUCAAAACAACACAAAUUUGGCCGGGUGCGGUGGCUCAUGCCUGUAAUCCUAGCACUUUGGGAGGCCAAGGUGGGUGGAUCACCUAAGGUCAGGAGUUUGAGACCAGCCUGGCCAACAUGGCGAAACCCUGUCUCUACUAAAAGUAUAAAAGUUAGCUAGGUGUGGUGGCACAUGUCUGUAAUCCCAGCUACUUGGGAGGCUGAGACAGAAUCACUUGAACGCAGGAGGCAGAGGUUGCAGUGAGCCAAGAUCAUGCCACUACACUCCAGCCUGGCCGACAGAGUGAGACUGCAUCUCAAAAAAAAAAAAAAAAAAAAAAAGCAACACAAAUUUUUUAUCUUACGUUCUGUUGGUCAGAAGUGUGCUAUGAGUCUCACUGGGUUAAAACCAAGGCAUCAGCAGGGUUGCAUUCCUUGCUGGAGAUUCCAGGGACAAUACAUUUCUUUGUCUUUUCCUCCUUCUUGAGGCUACCUGCUUUCCUUGGUUGGCGGCCCCAUCCUCCAUCUUCCAAGCCUGCAAGGGCAGGGCAGGUACUUCUCACACUACUGUCUCUCUGCGGCCAGGAAAGAUUCUUCACUCCUGUGAUUAGGUUGGGCCCAUCUGCAUAAUCUAAGAUACUUUCCCCAUCUCGAGGAAUGUAACCUUAAUCACACCAUUUGCAAAGUCCCUUUUGCCAUAUGAGGUAAUAUAUUCACAGGUCCUGGGGAUUAGGAUAUGGAUAUCUUGAGGGCAUAUUAUUUUGCCAACCACAGAUGCACAAUAGACUAUAUUAUGACCAUUUGUAGUAAGAUAGAUGACCAA
rnacentral:lncRNA from 10 species